UUUCUCCUUGCUUCAAUUUUAGCAGAAUUCAUGUUGCUCUGAUAGGGAACAUUUUCAAACUGAUGCCUUACCUUUCUUAGUGCCUCAAACUAGUUCCUCUUUAGUCAUGUUAUAACAAGUUAGUACAAGUUUAUAUUGGUACAAGAAAAAUUUCUGAAAUAUGUGCAUAGUUUUUUUAUACUAUGUAUUUUCCAUGAACUAUUUGAAGACCCCUGCUGUGCUUUCCAUGUGUUUCCUAAAGCUCAGUCGUAUGUCUGAAAGCUGAAUACCUACCCACUGCCAGCCAAUCAUCAACCUUUGACUGGCAAAUCCCUAUUAAUCCUACCAAGCUCAUGUGUCACCUCCUCUAGAAAGCCUUCCCUGCCUCUUCUCCCUAGUAGUGCCUGUUUAUGCCUAUUCAUGGCUGUAUUGCAGAAUGUACCACCUUACAAGUAUCUGUGUAUACUUUUUUCACAUUAGACAUUGGAGUCCUUCAGAGUAGGGACAGUGUCUUCCUACCUUUCUCUUCUUUCUUUCUUUCCUUCUUUUCUUCUUUUUUUUUUUUUUUUUUUUUUUUUGCUAAUCCUUUCCAUGUAUCCUCCCAAACACAUGUGUCUUUCCCACAGUAGGUACUUCAUGUAGAUGCUUAAUAGCUUCACCUAUCUUCCUCUAUGCUGCCUCUUAUCUAUAGAUAAACUUUUAAGUGACUAUGUACACAUCUUCCAGCUACAUUACUCAACUGUAAACAUUUCAAUCCCAUCCAGAUGUCAAAACGCAGCUGAUUUUUCUGAAUGCAGGGAUUCCCUCUGGGAACUAGGGCUUUGGAACAGUGAAGCAUAUCCUAGCAAUGAGGCAUGGAAGAGGCACCUGGAACCCAUUAGCAAAGGAUAAGCUGCCAUUCCUAACAUCUAACUGGGGGCUUUCAUCCUGUACAACUUAUAAUUGAUCAAACUUUGGGAGCUGUAGAUAGUACACAAAGUAUAUUUUUGCUGAUUUUGAUUUAUCUUUAGUCCAUACAAGCUGUUUCUCAUCAUUGCUUAGGGAACCAACUGAAAUCUAAUUUCACCACGAAAAGAGAUUUGACCUCACCAGGUUAAUCACUACAGCUGACCCAAUUUGAAUCAAGAUUGAGUUCAGAGUCAGGAACACCAACAUCAACCUAACCAAGUGCUAACUUAGGACAGGUUACUAGGGUAUGAUUGAAAACAAUAUAUCUGAUAACUAGAAGAAAGUAAAUGGUUUAAUAUGAGCAGGUUAAGUACAUGAGAGUUCUGAAUCCAGUUCUCAAGCCAAAGUCAGGUAUCCAAGAUAUUAGAAUCAAGUUAUCAACUAAUGUCAGAAGCAACAAAACCAGUUGGGAAGGCCAUAAGAAUAUGGUCAAUGUCUUAUGCAUCCUUUACAUUUUCCUUCUUCAACUCUUA
rnacentral:lncRNA from 1 species